GAUCCUGGCUCAGGAUAAACGCUAGCUACAGGCUUAACACAUGCAAGUCGAGGGGCAGCAUGAAAGGAACUUCGGCUCUUUUUGAUGGCGACCGGCGCACGGGUGCGUAACGCGUAUCGAACCUGCCUCAUACUCGGGGAUAGCCUUGCGAAAGUAAGAUUAAUACCCGGCGGUCUCGGAUGGCCGCAUGACUAUCCGAGUGAAGAUUUAUCGGUAUGAGAUGGCGAUGCGUCCCA
rnacentral:rRNA from 1 species